rnacentral:rRNA from 1 species
UACGUAGGGUGCAAGCGUUGUCCGGAAUUAUUGGGCGUAAAGAGCUCGUAGGCGGUCUGUCACGUCGGCUGUGAAAUCCCGAGGCUCAACCUCGGGUCUGCAGUCGAUACGGGCAAACUAGAGUAUUGCAGGGGAGACUGGAAUUCCUGGUGUAGCGGUGAAAUGCGCAGAUAUCAGGAGGAACACCGGUGGCGAAGGCGGGUCUCUGGGCAAUAACUGACGCUGAGGAGCGGAAGCGUGGGGAGCGAACAGG